AGCGCGUACACACCGCCCGUCACUCUCACCGAGCCAUACUAAUACAAUACAUAAAAAAUUUUUCUCGGUAAAGGGGAGGCAAGUCGUAACAUGGUAAGUGU
rnacentral:rRNA from 1 species